UUAAAAAUACUAUUUAACAUUAAAUUUAAUUCUGAAGUUUUGGCAAAAAUUGUUUGCUGACACCGAAAAUGUGUUUGGCAUACACAUUUUGUAGGUUAAGGUUGAUCCGUUCAACUAUCAUGUCUAUAGGUACAUACGAACACGUCAUACAACUUGCUUAAGUGAAACAUUGUAAUUUUGGAUUCGGAUCGGAACAAUAUGAAUGUUUAGGAUUCACAUUGAUUCGUAAGGCGUACCAACCUAACUAUAUUUAUUUAUACACAGACGAAGCGAAUAACGAUUAUAAAUGGACAAUGGCGACUGGCGACUAUUUAACGUCUGACAAGUAAACUGUGGGCGAUUGGUCUUUGCCGCCGAAAAGAAAUCCAGUUUGGGAAAGUACAAAAACCUUUGACAAAACCGCCUACCACUAUCUGAUAGACAUAUCCGUGUCGUCUCUUAAAUCAGUGCAUGAGCACCAGCCACCAAGUAAUAACCUCUCAAAAAUAUCAAUAUCGAUUUCCACGAGCGACAACUGGACUUCUUAUGUUAAGUAAAAAUC
rnacentral:lncRNA from 1 species